rnacentral:tRNA from 1 species
UUGGGAUGGCUCAGUUGGUAGAUCAUGAAACUCUUCAUCUCAGGAUUGUGGGUUCAAGCCCCACAUUGGGCAAAA